AUUUCAACUUCAAAAUUCACACCCUCACAAGUCAUACAUAACACAGAAGUCUCAACUCAUAUUCUCUCAAAAUUCUUACGAAGAACAAUUCCCGCGUUAUCAAUGUCAACGUGGGCUUCAAUUAUCGCUACCAAUUGGGAUCCCGACGAGUGGGAAAUCGUCAACGACGAUGGCUUCGUCUACAAGCGCAAGAAACGUCGAAUUGACCCCACUUCCUUCGCUCGUGCGCCAGAUCCCGAACCAGAUCCAGCUCUUCGAAUCAAGGAAAAACGAAAGAACAAACGCGCAGCUUUGCUCAAGUUAAAGGAGAAAUACCUAAAAGAAAUUUCUGGCUGGGACAAUUUAUCGAACACCUUGAAGGCAAAACAAGAUAGUGUUAUAUCUAAGCGUGAACAAGUUAAGAAGUCAUCUGGGGAGGACAAAGAAGGAGGGAAGCUUCUAGAAAUGGGCGAUAAAGGGUUUGAAUCUGUUGAUAACUCUUCUGGGUCUUUACUUGAUGAGCUUCUCAAGCAGGUUGAAGAACAAGAAACAAUACUACACAAUAUUGAGCAGCUUUGUGAUGUAGCUGAAUCCUUGUGCUAUGCCCAUGAGGAGAUGGCGAAAACAUCUUACUUAAAUCUCCCGGUUUGGGAGGGUAACCCUCGUGAAACUGCUGCAUCUCUUUGUGAGGAUUGAUCAUUAGUAGUUUGGUUAGCUUUCUGCAGGCAUCAGAGGCAAAGGCAAUCUGGUCAAUUGCAGGCAGCUGACAUGCUGUCAAGUCGUUUCACUGGGUUAUGUUGCUCACACGCAGGUGCUAUUGUCAGGUGAUAAAUAUGGGUGGCAAAAGGCUUGCUGCUUCGAAAGGUCCCAAGUGUUGUGAAAGUGGUUGCUGACUUGCUGGUAAAAUGUGGUAGAUGAACUACUGUUUUGAGCAGAGGAAAGUGAGAUCCUUCUAUGACAUGCUCGAGAAAGGCCAGAUCAGUGUUGUUGUAGAAGAAUAAAUCGUAUUUGAUGAAUCAUAUUUUGUUUAACUUGGUGUCUUUCCUCGUUUUGCUGCUAAUUCUUCAGGGAAGGAGUGCAUAAACCCAUUCAUGAUUAAUGGAGUACUUAGUAAUUUUUGUCUGAUACUGAAAGUUAAUGAUGUAAUGAUAUGGAUUUUCAGUUUUCAUGUUCCUCCCCUUUGGGUGGUGAGUUUUAUGAGAACAUGAGCACUAUAUUUUCUAUUGCCGA